rnacentral:lncRNA from 1 species
AGAACCAAAGAAUUCCAUCAGAUAUGGUAUUUCUUAGAACUUCAGAGAAAGCAGGACCUUUUUUCUAUCAGUGCCUAUGUUUAUGCUCAGAAGCCACAACUGGAUAUUCAUAGUUUUGAAGGAACAUUUACCAGGGAUGACAGUGAUCCUCCCAUUCAUGAGAGUCUCAGCAUAGAAAACACAUUGUGGGCAAGCACCAUUGUUGCCUCAGGUACUGUAAUAGGUGUUGUCAUUUAUACUGGAAAAGAGACUCGAAGUGUAAUGAACACAUCCAAUCCAAAAAAUAAGGUUGGUUUAUUGGACCUCGAACUCAAUCAGCUGACAAAGGCGCUAUUUCUGGCUUUAGUUGUUCUUUCUGUUGUUAUGGUAACCUUACAGGGAUUUGCA